rnacentral:rRNA from 1 species
CGGCCUACGGGUGGGCACUAGGUGUGGGCGACAUUCCACGUUGUCCGUGCCGCAGCUAACGCAUUAAGUGCCCCGCCUGGGGAGUACGGCCGCAAGGCUAAAACUCAAAGGAAUUGACGGGGGCCCGCACAAGCGGCGGAGCAUGUGGCUUAAUUCGACGCAACGCGAAGAACCUUACCAAGGCUUGACAUACACCGGAAAACCCUGGAGACAGGGUCCCCCUUGUGGUCGGUGUACAGGUGGUGCAUGGCUGUCGUCAGCUCGUGUCGUGAAAUGUUGGGUUAAGUCCCGCAACGAGCGCAACCCUUGUCCCGUGUUGCCAGCAGGCCCUUGUGGGGCUGGGGACUCACGGGAAACCGCCGGGGUCAACUCGGAGGAAGGGGGGGACCACGUCAAGUCAUCAUGCCCCUUAUGUCUUGGGCUGCACACGUGCUACAAUGGCCGGUACAAUGAGCUGCGAUACCCCGAGGGGGAACGAAUCUCAAAAAACCGGUCUCAGUUCGGAUUGGGGUCUGCAACUCCACCCCAUGAAGUCGGAUUCGAUAUAAAUCCCAAAUCUACAUUGCUGCG